GAGGGUUUUAGGCUGUCGCUGCUAACGAUUUGUUUGGGUUCUUUUUCCCAAUCCUCU
rnacentral:tRNA from 1 species